GCGAGAAGACUCAGUAAGGCAUACUCGGAGCCAAGUGGAGGUUACCUGUAGGCGGAAAAAGUUGAGCGACUGUUAUUUUUACCCCUUGUUAGAUCGAUAUUUGGCUUUGUAACAGCAUCGAGAAGUACUAUUAUAUGCACGAUUUCUUUUUCAAGGAUGGAGUUAAAAAGAAACUGGAGAAAAUAAAGAAGAAUCAUCUUUAUAUUUAUGCAACAAGAAAGAAAAAUGAAGCUACUCAUCUCAAAGCAUACUGGAGUCAAAGGAAUAAAACUAUACCUAAACAAAACCAUGUCAAUGAAGAAUUGGAAAACCAGAGCCUAUCAAGAAUUCACUGCAGCCAUCAAGAACUGAUUGAAAACGAAAUAACUUCCGGAGUGCAUGAAGUAGUGUACUAUGAAGAAAGCUAUCCGGCAAAGUGAGUAACUGUUUACAUUUUAUUUAAAACAAAUCUAAGUUAUUAUUUUAGAGAAAGUAAGAUUGGCAACACAAACAGUUCUAUUAAUUUAACAAAUAUGUUUUGGCCAAAAUAUACAUAAGAUUUUUGGUCUGUUCAGUGUAAGGUCAUUUAUUGCACAAAAAUAAAGAAGUCGGUAUUAAAAAGGAUAAAUUUUAUGCAUUGCAGGAAAAAAUUUAAACUUGAUAGCUGCAGUUAUCAAGUUCCGGAAGGUAGAGACUCACGAUGACACCUUGGCAGCCAGGGAGUAAAAACGGCACAAGAAAUUUCUUCAAGAGAAAAUGACACAUCAGAUGAAGAGAAUAACUACUCUGUAACCAAUGUCCUGCACAAUGAAGAUGGGCAGUGUAUCUCUACAGCCAUGUCUUACACAGAAAUGCAACCGCCUCUGAAACUAUUUGAGAUGGAAGCAGGAUGUUCUUUCUGGUCAACCACCGAAGGAGCCAUUGACAUUCCAUAUGAGCUGGUGGACAGGAAUGAGCCAACUGUAGACAGUAGAUGUAUCAACAAUUCAGAGACAAGCAAUCAGGUUAGCUGAAUAACAAUUAUAUUGCUUUUAAUUAUAUUGACCUGUUAAAAAAUUACAGUUAAGUUAUAAUUUAACUUUACGAAUAUACUUCAAUUGAAAAAUUACACAACUACUCAAACUACAUAAAUGUUUUUAUCAGAAAUUUCACUAAAAACAGGGCAAAA